AAAAAAGAAAAAAAAAGAAAAGAAAAACAACAACAACAAAAAAAACCCCAACAAAACACAAAAGCCAGCAAAGCCGAGCGCUGUCUUUCCCCCAUCUCCCUCCUUUUUGGAACAAGCUGGCGGGUUUGCAGAAGGGUGUUUUAAGCAGGAGCAGAUGCCGGCGUUCCUCGGGCUGGGAGGGGCGAGCCGAGCCCAGGAGGGAUGCGGAGAUAGAAAACAGAUUGCAGCAAAUAUUUGUGUUUAUAAUUGCUGCGCAGGCCGGUGGUGCGAGGGGCGCUGGGAGCCAGCUCUUGCGCAUCCGGUGCCUUGAAAUAUGGGAACCAGAAGUCCUGAGGGUUCCUGAUCCACAGAGGUGAGGCUCUGGACGCACAGGGGGAGGACAGUCCCCGUCCCGCAGCGCUGGCUCCCCACGUACCAUGGAAGCAACGAGACCAUCACCCAGAGGAGGGCUUGCUCCAGGGUAGCCGUGAAGACCUCUCAGCUUCUUGACCCCCAUGAAGGGGGAAAAGAAAUGAAAUGGGGUAAGAGCCAGCCGUGCCUCUGCUGACCUGUCCCUAAGGAGCUGGGAGACCCUUCCUGUGGAGGCAGAGGGCUGGAUCCCAGUCUCCCAGUGCCGAAUCCUUCGGGAUGCCUUCAGGAAGCAGCACGUGGCGUGAUGAGCCAGCCUGGCUCGAGAUGCUCCUUUCUAAAGGUUGCUCCAAGAACCCUGUCCUGGAAGAAACCGUCUCCUUUGAAGCUCGUGCUGCCAUGGGACUCGCUGGCACGUGCCCACCCACGNNNNNNNNNNAAAAGGCAUUCAUCUCCUUCUGCUGCGGGAGAGAGCGGCUGCGGGGAAACAGGUCCAUAAAUCACCUGCAAUGCUUGGAAAUAAAAAUCAUUAUUGUGAUAAAUGGGGGUUUAUUUCUCUUUUAAGAAGAGGGAUCACAAAAGACCAGGGCA
rnacentral:lncRNA from 1 species